CUCUGGGUCCAACCUCCCACCCGUGUUUAUUGUACCUUGUUGCUUCGGUGCGCCCGCCUCACGGCCGCCGGGGGGCUUCUGCCCCCGGGUCCGCGCGCACCGGAGACACCAUUGAACUCUGUCUGAAGAUUGCAGUCUGAGCAUAAACUAAAUAAGUUAAAACUUUCAACAACGGAUCUCUUGGUUCCGGCAUCGAUGAAGAACGCAGCGAAAUGCGAUAACUAAUGUGAAUUGCAGAAUUCAGUGAAUCAUCGAGUCUUUGAACGCACAUUGCGCCCCCUGGUAUUCCGGGGGGCAUGCCUGUCCGAGCGUCAUUGCUGCCCUCAAGCACGGCUUGUGUGUUGGGCUCCGUCCCCCCGGGGACGGGUCCGAAAGGCAGCGGCGGCACCGAGUCCGGUCCUCGAGCGUAUGGGGCUUUGUCACCCGCUCUGUAGGCCCGGCCGGCGCCAGCCGACAACCAAUCAUCCUUUUUUCAGGUUGACCUCGGAUCAGGUAGGGAUACCCGCUGAACUUAAGCAUAUCAA
rnacentral:rRNA from 1 species